rnacentral:tRNA from 1 species
GCCACGUUGGUCUAGAGGAUCAGGACGUCGCCCUCUCACGGCGAAAAUCGCGGGUUCGAAUCCCGCACGUGGUACCA